rnacentral:tRNA from 1 species
CAAAAUAUAGCUUAUAUAAAGCACCUCGCUUACAACGAGAUGAUAAUCACUACCCAUGAUUUAUUUUGA